rnacentral:rRNA from 1 species
AUGUUUGAAAUGAUGUCUGGGUUGAAAGUCAACUUUCAAAAAAGUGAGAUUUUGACUGUGGGGGGAGAUGAUGCUGUGAUUAAGCAAUAUGCCGACCUCUUCAAUUGUGAUAUAGGUAGCUUCCCCAUCAAAUACCUGGGCAUGCCCGUUAGUUAUACCACCUUGAGAAACUCUGAUUGGGAGUUCAUUGUCUGCAAAUAUCUAAAGAGAUUUGAAGCUUGGGUGGGCAAUGCUGCCUCCAUGGAGGGAGACAUACUUUAUUAG